CAGUCUGAUUGGUAUUUUCAUCUGUUGGUAAAAUAGCCAUACAGUAAAUACCAUUCAGAUUGCA
rnacentral:pre_miRNA from 1 species